AUCUAAAUAGUUUAAGUAAAAUAUUGGUUUGUGGUGCCGAUGAUAUGAGUUUUGUUUUAGAUU
rnacentral:tRNA from 2 species